GACGAACGUUGGCGGCGUGCCUAAUACAUGCAAGUCAACUGAAAUACCGGUAGCAAUACUGGUAUGGAGGUGGCGCACGGGUGAGUAACACGUAGGUAAUCUGCCUUCAGGUCUGACAUAACCCAUCGAAAGGUGAGCUAAUAUCAGAUGAUGCAGCGGCUUGACAUCAAGACAGUUGUUAAAGCUUCGGCGCCUGAAGAUGAGCCUGCGUCUGAUUAGCUAGUUGGCGGGGUAACGGCCCACCAAGGCUGCGAUCAGUAGCUGGUCUGAGAGGAUGAUCAGUCACACUGGAACUGAGACACGGUCCAGACUCCUACGGGAGCAGCAGUAAGGAAUAUUGCUCAAUGGCCGAAAGGCUGAAGCAGCAACGCCGCGUGAGGGAUGAAGGGCUUUUGCUUGUAAACCUCUGUAGCGAGAGACAAAACUCCCUA
rnacentral:rRNA from 1 species